rnacentral:tRNA from 1 species
GCAGUGGUGGUUCAGGGGUAGAAUUCUUGCCUUCUGUGAAGGAGACUGAGUUCGAUUCCCAGCCAAUGCA